GACGAACGCUGGCGGCAUGCCUAAUACAUGCAAGUCGAGCGAACAGAUGAAGUGCUUGCACUUCUGACGUUAGCGGCGAACGGGUGAGUAACACGUAAGGAAUCUACCUAUAAGCGGGGGAUAACAUUCGGAAACGGGUGCUAAUACCGCAUAAUAUCUUCUUCCGCAUGGAAGAAGAUUGAAAGACGGCUCUGCUGUCACUUAUAGUGGACCUUGCGGUGCAUUAGUUAGUUGGUGGGGUAAUGGCCUACCAAGACGAUGAGGCAUAGCCGACCUGAGAGGGUGAUCGGCCACAUUGGGACUGAGACACGGCCCAAACUCCUACGGGAGGCAGCAGUAGGGAAUCUUCCGCAAUGGGCGAAAGCCUGACGGAGCAAUGCCGCGUGAGUGAAGAAGGCCUUCGGGUCGUAAAACUCUGUUAUAAGAGAAGAACAAAUUGUAGAGUAACUGCUACAGUUUUGACGGUAUCUUAUCAGAAAGCCACGGCUAACUACGUGCCAGCAGCCGCCGUAA
rnacentral:rRNA from 1 species